GAUGAACGCUGGCGGCGUGCCUAAUACAUGCAGGUCGAGCGAACAGACGAGGAGCUUGCUCCUCUGACGUUAGCGGCGGACGGGUGAGUAACACGUGGAUAACCUACCUAUAAGACUGGGAUAACUUCGGGAAACCGGAGCUAAUACCGGAUAAUAUAUUGAACCGCAUGGUUCAAUAGUGAAAGACGGUUUUGCUGUCACUUAUAAAUGGAUCCGCGCCGCAUUAGCUAGUUGGUAAGGUAACGGCUUACCAAGGCGACGAUGCGUAGCCGACCUGAGAGGGUGAUCGGCCACACUGGAACUGAGACACGGUCCAGACUCCUACGGGAGGCAGCAGUAGGGAAUCUUCCGCAAUGGGCGAAAGCCUGACGGAGCAACGCCGCGUGAGUGAUGAAGGUCUUCGGAUCGUAAAACUCUGUUAUUAGGGAAGAACAAAUGUGUAAGUAACUAUGCACGUCUUGACGGUACCUAAUCAGAAAGCCACGGCUAACUACGUG
rnacentral:rRNA from 1 species